rnacentral:lncRNA from 1 species
GGUGUGACCUACACACCACUUAUCAAGCCAUGCUGUGGCAGGCAUCCCACAUAUAAAUAGAAGAAGAUGGGGGGCUGGCCCAGUCGUGCAGCAGGAGUGAGAGCCCCAUCACACGCUCAGGGAGCCUCCAGGCCUACUGGCAACAAUGUCCUUCCCAGCUGUAAACCGCUGUCCGACAGAGACUUUAAACUGUAGCAGAAUCCGUGUACCUUGGGUUUUUAACCAUGAUGUCACAGUUGCCGGCUACAGUCAAGAAGGUACAAGCUCUUGGACACAAAGGUCCAUUCUUCUGGUCCCUUCUUCAUGCCUAGACAUGCUCAGAGGUUGGCAUCCUGCCCUGGAAGCAAAACAUGGAGGCAAAACAAAGGCUUCAUUUUCACCGCUUGGAACAACAGUCAAUUCUUCAAUGUGGUAAUUACUUAGAACAAAUUAAGAGUUUAGAUCCAGGAGCCUUGGGACACUCAAAAUAUUAUGGAAAAUAGGAG